UUGAACGCUGGCGGCAUGCCUUACACAUGCAAGUCGAACGGUAGAGGGGCAACCCUUGAGAGUGGCGAACGGGUGAGUAAUAUAUCGGAACGUGCCCAGUCGUGGGGGAUAACGCAGCGAAAGCUGCGCUAAUACCGCAUACGAUCUAUGGAUGAAAGCGGGGGAUCGCAAAGACCUCGCGCGAUUGGAGCGGCCGAUAUCAGAUUAGGUAGUUGGUGGGGUAAAAG
rnacentral:rRNA from 1 species